UACGGAGGGAGCUAGCGUUGUUCGGAAUUACUGGGCGUAAAGCGCACGUAGGCGGCUUUGCAAGUUAGAGGUGAAAGCCCGGGGCUCAACCCCGGAAUUGCCUUUAAAACUGCAUCGCUAGAGUUGUGGAGAGGUAAGUGGAAUUCCGAGUGUAGAGGUGAAAUUCGUAGAUAUUCGGAAGAACACCAGUGGCGAAGGCGACUUACUGGACACAUACUGACGCUGAGGUGCGAAAGCGUGGGGAGCAAACAGG
rnacentral:rRNA from 1 species